rnacentral:tRNA from 1 species
AGGAUAAUAGUUAAUAUAACAUUUGAUUUGCAUUCAAAAAAUGUUGAAUAAUCAACUUAUCUU